GGUGGAUAAUUUGAGAAAACUCAAGAUCCUCUACGAUGUGCCUUUUGCACUAUAGAGUAUUGAAGCAUCAUGGAUAGCUGUCAUGUCAUCCAUCUUAGAGAUAGAUAGUUAUUGUUUGUUUAGGACAUGUAUCCUGUAUGGCAUUAAGUAUGGCUACUUAGAUUUUCAUAACAAAUAGCGACUGUCUAUCUCAGAGAUAGAUGAUGUGGCAGCUAUCCUAUGCAAUACAGU
rnacentral:lncRNA from 1 species